rnacentral:rRNA from 1 species
UACGAAGGGGGCUAGCGUUGUUCGGAAUUACUGGGCGUAAAGCGCACGUAGGCGGAUAUUUAAGUCAGGGGUGAAAUCCCGCAGCUCAACUGCGGAACUGCCUUUGAUACUGGGUAUCUUGAGUAUGGAAGAGGUUAGUGGAAUUGCGAGUGUAGAGGUGAAAUUCGUAGAUAUUCGCAGGAACACCAGUGGCGAAGGCGACUCACUGGACGACUGUUGACGCUGAGGUGCGAAAGCGUGGGGAGCAAACAGG